AUGGAGGCCUGUCUGAUAGUGAUUCUCACAAUUUCAGGUGCGUUUGCUGACAGCAUUGGACCAAAUGACAAGGACACUAAUGUGAUCAGAAGAGAAGGAGAGUCUGUGUCAUUGAGCUGCUCAUAUGAUGCUAGCAGCAGUUAUGUUUUGCUUUACUGGUUCAGACAGUUUCCAAACAGAGAACUAGAAUAUUUACUGUAUAAAGGUGCUCAGUCAUGGAGGAAUAAGGAGGAUAUAUCAGAUGAUCGGUUUAAAUCGACUACAUCCCAUUCGUCCACAUCACUCACUAUUGCUGAAGGAGCUCUGUCAGAUUCAGCUCUUUAUUACUGUGCUGUGAAGAGUCGUCUAUACAGCCCAAUGUUACAAGAGCCUGAGAGGCUGUACAAAAACUCACACACAGAAAUGUUGCUUUGA